UACGAAGGGUGCGAGCGUUGUUCGGAAUUAUUGGGCGUAAAGGGUUCGUAGGCGGGAGAGCAAGUUGAGUGUGAAAACCCCGGGCUUAACCUGGGACGUGCACUCAAGACUGUUUUUCUUGAGUAUGGGAGAGGGUGGUGGAAUUGCUGGUGUAGGAGUGACAUCCGUAGAGAUCAGCAGGAACGCCGGAGGCGAAAGCGACCACCUGGUCCAAAACUGACGCUGAGGAACGAAAGAGUGGGGAGCAAACAGG
rnacentral:rRNA from 1 species